AUACGUAGGUGACAAGCGUUAUCCGGAUUUACUGGGUGUAAAAGGCGUGUAGGCGGUUUAGCAAGUCAGAAGUGAAAUUCCCGGGCUUAACUUGGGCGCUGCUUCUGAAACUGCUUUAAUUGAGGGCUGGAGAGGAUAGUGGAAUUCCUAGUGUAGCGGUAAAAUGCGCAGAUAUUAGGAGGAAAACCGGUGGCGAAGGCGGCUAUCUGGACAGUAACUGACGCUGAGGCGCGAAAGCACGGGGAGCAAACAGGAUUAGAUACCCUGGUAGUCCGUGCCGUAAACGAUGAAUACUAGGUGUAGGGGGUAUCGACUCCCUCUGUGCCGCAGUUAACACAUUAAGUAUUCCACCUGGGGAGUACGGCCGCAAGGUUGAAACUCAAAUGAAUUGACGGGG
rnacentral:rRNA from 1 species